rnacentral:rRNA from 1 species
UACGUAGGGUGCGAGCGUUAAUCGGAAUUACUGGGCGUAAAGCGUGCGCAGGCGGCUUGCCAAGUCAGAUGUGAAAGCCCCGGGCUCAACCCCGGGAACUGCGUUUGAAACUGGCAGGCUAGAGUUUGGCAGAGGGGGGUGGAAUUCCACGUGUAGCAGUGAAAUGCGUAGAGAUGUGGAGGAACACCGAUGGCGAAGGCAGCCCCCUGGGCCAAAACUGACGCUCAGGCACGAAAGCGUGGGGAGCAAACAGG